rnacentral:tRNA from 1 species
CUUUCGAUAGCUCAGCUGGUAGAGCGGAGGACUGUAGAAAGGGACGUUUGUGGAUAUCCUUAGGUCGCUGGUUCGAUUCCGGCUCGAAGGA